rnacentral:misc_RNA from 1 species
CCAUGAAUCAUGCAUCUAAUAUCACAUAAAGUAGUUUCCAAAACACAAUCGUUCAAAAGUAGCCACUCGAGCCUUUCAUUAUAGUGAAAUUACCGACAUCCUAUGAACAUUUCACUGAUUCACAAAGCAAUAAAUGAAGCAAUAAUUUGAGCAAUGAGAUGAAAAAAUCUUACAAAUACAGGGGACUUGACAUGAACUGGAGGUCAUGUUAAAAGUAUUAAACUGCAAUAUGUUUGAACCUCGACCCAUUUGAAUUCCAGCCAUGUUUUAUCCACCCCGCAUCCACAAUUUGAUCCAACUUCGAUCAAAAAACCACCAUGCACACUUCUUCAGCUCUAGGGCAUCAACAUCCAAAGAUGUCAGCAACCACCUCUUCAAGUAGACUACUAUAUAUUUGACCCUCGAUCUCCGUUCCAAGUAAAAAUGCAUCAACUUCAAAGUCCAUCCAUCUUCCGUAUUGACUGCUCAUGUCCUUGUCUACAAGUUCAUCGACCAUGCAAUCCCCCAUGCCUUUC